UGCGUAGGCGGAAGAUUAAGUCAGUGAUGAAAUCCUGCAGCUCAACUGUAGAACUGUCAUUGAUACUGAUUUUCUUGAAUACAGUUGAGGUAGGCGGAAUAUGUAAUGUAGCGGUGAAAUGCUUAGAUAUUACAUAGAACACCAAUUGCGAAGGCAGCUUACUAAACUGUGAUUGACGCUGAGGCACGAAAGCGUGGGGAGCGAACUGGAUUAGAUACCCUGGUAGUCC
rnacentral:rRNA from 1 species